rnacentral:rRNA from 1 species
UCAUGGCUCAGAUUGAACGCUGGCGGAAUGCCUUACACAUGCAAGUCGAACGGCAGCACGGGUGCUUGCACCUGGUGGCGAGUGGCGAACGGGUGAGUAAUGCGUCGGAACGUACCGAGUAAUGGGGGAUAACGCAGCGAAAGUUGUGCUAAUACCGCAUACGCCCUGAGGGGGAAAGUGGGGGACCGCAAGGCCUCACGUUAUUCGAGCGGCCGACGUCUGAUUAGCUAGUUGGUGGGGUAAAGGCCUACCAAGGCGACGAUCAGUAGCGGGUCUGAGAGGAUGAUCCGCCACACUGGGACUGAGACACGGCCCAGACUCCUACGGGAGGCAGCAGUGGGGAAUUUUGGACAAUGGGGGCAACCCUGAUCCAGCCAUUCCGCGUGAGUGAAGAAGGCCUUCGGGUUGUAAAGCUCUUUCAGCUGGAACGAAACGGUACGCGCUAACAUCGUGUGCUAAUGACGGUACCGGCAGAAGAAGCACCGGCUAACUACGUGCCAGCAGCCGCGGUAAUACGUAGGGUGCGAGCGUUAAUCGGAAUUACUGGGCGUAAAGCGUGCGCAGGCGGAUUGUUAAGCAAGACGUGAGAUCCCCGGGCUUAACCUGGGAAUGGCGUUUUGAACUGGCAGUCUAGAGUGCGUCAGAGGGGGGUGGAAUUCCACGUGUAGCAGUGAAAUGCGUAGAGAUGUGGAGGAACACCGAUGGCGAAAGGCAGCCCCCUGGGAUGACACUGACGCUCAUGUACGAAAGCGUGGGUAGCAAACAGGAUUAGAUAC